UACAGAGACUGCAAGCGUUAUUCGGAUUCACUGGGCGUAAAGGGUGCGCAGGCGGCCGAGUGUGUGAGGCGUGAAAGCCUGGGGCUUAACCCCGGAAUUGCACCUCAAACUACACGGCUAGAGCAUUGGAGAGGGUAGCAGAAUUCACGGUGUAGCAGUGAAAUGCGUAGAUAUCGUGAGGAAUACCAGAGGCGAAGGCGGCUACCUGGACAAUUGCUGACGCUCAGGCACGAAAGCGUGGGGAGCAAAAGGG
rnacentral:rRNA from 1 species